AGCGACCCUGCCCAUACCUGUGGGGAUAGCCGGCCCAACGGCCGGGUAAUACCGCAUACGAUCGUUUGGGGCAUCCCUGGACGACGAAAGCUCGUAAGAGCGCAGGAUGAGGGGCUCGCGGCCUAUCAGCUAGUUGGCGGGGUAAUGGCCCACCAAGGCGAUGACGGGUAGCUGGUCUGAGAGGAUGGCCAGCCACAUUGGGACUGAGAGACGGCCCAG
rnacentral:rRNA from 1 species